rnacentral:rRNA from 1 species
GAUAAACGCUGGCGGCGUGCCUAAUACAUGCAAGUCGAGCGAACGGACGAGAAGCUUGCUUCUCUGAUGUUAGCGGCGGACGGGUGAGUAACACGUGGAUAACCUACCUAUAAGACUGGGAUAACUUCGGGAAACCGGAGCUAAUACCGGAUAAUAUUUUGAACCGCAUGGUUCAAAAGUGAAAGACGGUCUUGCUGUCACUUAUAGAUGGAUCCGCGCUGCAUUAGCUAGUUGGUAAGGUAACGGCUUACCAAGGCAACGAUGCAUAGCCGACCUGAGAGGGUGAUCGGCCACACUGGAACUGAGACGCGGUCCAGACUCCUACGGGAGGCAGCAGUAGGGAAUCUUCCGCAAUGGGCGAAAGCCUGACGGAGCAACGCCGCGUGAGUGAUGAAGGUCUUCGGAUCGUAAAACUCUGUUAUUAGGGAAGAACAUAUGUGUAAGUAACUGUGCACAUCUUGACGGUACCUAAUCAGAAAGCCACGGCUAACUACGUGCCAGCAGCCGCGGUAAUACGUAGGUGGCAAGCGUUAUCCGGAAUUAUUGGGCGUAAAGCGCGCGUAGGCGGUUUUUUAAGUCUGAUGUGAAAGCCCACGGCUCAACCGUGGAGGGUCAUUGGAAACUGGAAAACUUGAGUGCAGAAGAGGAAAGUGGAAUUCCAUGUGUAGCGGUGAAAUGCGCAGAGAUAUGGAGGAACACCAGUGGCGAAGGCGACUUUCUGGUCUGUAACUGACGCUGAUGUGCGAAAGCGUGGGGAUCAAACAGGAUUAGAUACCCUGGUAGUCCACGCCGUAAACGAUGAGUGCUAAGUGUUAGGGGGUUUCCGCCCCUUAGUGCUGCAGCUAACGCAUUAAGCACUCCGCCUGGGGAGUACGACCGCAAGGUUGAAACUCAAAGGAAUUGACGGGGACCCGCACAAGCGGUGGAGCAUGUGGUUUAAUUCGAAGCAACGCGAAGAACCUUACCAAAUCUUGACAUCCUUUGACAACUCUAGAGAUAGAGCCUUCCCCUUCGGGGGACAAAGUGACAGGUGGUGCAUGGUUGUCGUCAGCUCGUGUCGUGAGAUGUUGGGUUAAGUCCCGCAACGAGCGCAACCCUUAAGCUUAGUUGCCAUCAUUAAGUUGGGCACUCUAAGUUGACUGCCGGUGACAAACCGGAGGAAGGUGGGGAUGACGUCAAAUCAUCAUGCCCCUUAUGAUUUGGGCUACACACGUGCUACAAUGGACAAUACAAAGGGCAGCGAAACCGCGAGGUCAAGCAAAUCCCAUAAAGUUGUUCUCAGUUCGGAUUGUAGUCUGCAACUCGACUACAUGAAGCUGGAAUCGCUAGUAAUCGUAGAUCAGCAUGCUACGGUGAAUACGUUCCCGGGUCU